ensembl:snRNA U4 U4 spliceosomal RNA
AGCUUUGUGCAGUGCAGUAUUGUAGCCAAUGAGGUUUAUCUGAGGCGCGAUUAUUGCUAAUUGAAAACUAAUUGUUCUAGCUGAUGUUUUAGGUACUGUGUUGAAUACAAGUGGUGACAGUGAACAUCCA